rnacentral:rRNA from 1 species
GACGAACGCUGGCGGCGUGCUUAACACAUGCAAGUCGAGCGGAGGCGGUCAAGGAGCAAUCUAAGACCACUUUAGCGGCGGACGGGUGAGUAACGCGUGAGCAACCUGCCUUUCACAGGGGGAUAACGCAGCGAAAGCUGCACUAAUACCGCAUGAGACCACAGCGGAGAUACCGCAGGGGUCAAAGGAGCAAUCCGGUGAGAGAUGGGCUCGCGUCCGAUUAGGUAGUUGGUGAGGUAAAGGCCCACCAAGCCAAUGAUCGGUAGCCGGCCUGAGAGGGUGAACGGCCACAUUGGAACUGAGAGACGGUCCAAACUCCUACGGGAGGCAG